UUGCACUUUAGGAAUAUUGAACACAUUUAUGAGUUCAACAGUGAGUUAUUACAGUCUUUAGACAUGUGUGCCAGUGAUCCUGUGGCCAUCGCGCGCUGCUUUGUGGACAAGAGCGAGUAUUUUGAGAUCUACACGCAGUACUGUACAAACUACCCAAAUUCAGUGGCAGUGUUGACUGACUGUCUGAGGAAUAAAACUCUGGCCA